UGCCGGGUUGUGUAAUGGCAGCACGACGGACUUUGAAUCCGUCUGUCCAGGUUCGAGUCCUGGCCCGGCAGCCA
rnacentral:tRNA from 1 species